ACAAGCGGUGGAGCAUGUGGUUAAUUCGAAGCAACGCGAAGAACCUUACCAGGUCUUGACAUCCCUGACAACCCGAGAGAUCGGGCGUUCCCCUUCGGGGGGACAGGGUGACAGGUGGUGCAUGGUUGUCGUCAGCUCGUGUCGUGAGAUGUUGGGUUAAGUCCCGCAACGAGCGCAACCCUCGACCUUAGUUGCCAGCAUUCAGUUGGGCACUCUAAGGUGACUGCCGGCUAAAAGUCGGAGGAAGUGGGGAUGACGUCAAAUCAUCAUGCCCCUUAUGACCUGGGCUACACACGUGCUACAAUGGGCGGUACAAAGGGUCGCGAACCCGCGAGGGGGAGCCAAUCCCAAAAAGCCGCUCUCAGUUCGGAUUGCAGGCUGCAAUUCGCCUGCAUGAAGUCGGAAUCGCUAGUAAUCGCAGGUCAGCAUACUGCGGUGAAUACGUUCCCGGGCCUU
rnacentral:rRNA from 1 species